rnacentral:tRNA from 1 species
AGGGAUAUAGUUCAGUUGGUAGAACGCUUGAUUUGGGAUCAAGAGGUCGCACGUUCGAGUCGUGUUAUUCCUA